rnacentral:rRNA from 1 species
UACGAAGGGGGCUAGCGUUGCUCGGAAUUACUGGGCGUAAAGGGCGCGUAGGCGGACAGUUUAGUCAGAGGUGAAAGCCCAGGGCUCAACCUUGGAAUUGCCUUUGAUACUGGCUGUCUUGAGUUCGGGAGAGGUGAGUGGAAUGCCGAGUGUAGAGGUGAAAUUCGUAGAUAUUCGGCGGAACACCAGUGGCGAAGGCGACUCACUGGCCCGAUACUGACGCUGAGGCGCGAAAGCGUGGGGAGAAAACAGG